CACUUGCAGGGAUCCAGGAGCAAUCACAGCUUCUCCAGGCACCCUGUGCUGCUACUUUCUGGAGGAUGCUUAAAAACUGACAUGGAUCAGGAAGGUGACUGGAUAAAGUCAUGGAAGGAAAGUAUAAAGAUUCCUGGGUAGAAACAGUCCAUGCUGAAGUGUUCAGGGGAGAAAAUGGUACAGACUGAUGUGGGUCUGAACUUGCUUUCUAAACCUGCUGCUGAUUGCUGUUGGAGGUAUUGAAUUAAGCAGAUCUCAGAUGGAGUCUGUCAUGCCUGUUGGGACAGUGUCAGGCUGCCCCCGUGCACACUCAGUUUUAAGAUUUUACUGGAAGAGAGAAAAGCCUUUUCAAGUGCUGGGGUAGGAGGCAGGAGUAGGGAUUUUCUCAGAUUUCCCUUUGAACCUUUAUCUCCCAGCAGGUUAACAUCUGAUUCCUCAAUGUCAGUGCCCUUUAUCUGUAUGUAAGAGUGAAGUGGAUUGUAAAACUCUUUGAGUGAACCCCUUGUAGUCUCAAGCUGCUCCAGUGGAGGUUCAGGUUGGUUAUUAGGAAGAAAUUCUUCAUAGAAAAGGUGGUAAAACACUGGACUGGGCUGCCUAGGGAGGUGGUGGAGCCCCCAUCCCUGGAGGAGCUUAAAGAAAGACUGGAUGUGACACUCAGUGCUGUGGUCUGGUUGACAGGGUGGUGAUGGGUCACAGCUUGGACUCAGUUACCUUGGAGGUCCUUUAGAACCCGGGUGAUUCUGUGUGUGCCCAUCUGUGAGGUGGGAGAUGGUGAAACAGGAGCUGGGCUCAAUGAUCCCUGGGUGGAUCCCUCUGAGCUCAGGAUAUUCUGUGAUUCUCUGAAACCCCAUAAAGCCAACCUGAGUAUCCUUUCCGACACCUGGCUCUGUUUUAUAGCCACCAUUUGGUGAGGUGAAGGGAAGAUCUGUUUUGUCUGAUCCCCUUCCACGGAAAAUUCCAAGUCGCUGAAGGAGCAGCAGGAUCAUCCCUGCACACAUGGCAGGGAAAUGACUUUUAAUGAUGGGCUGGCUUGGAUACUGCCCAGAUCCCUUGUCUUACAGCAGGACAAGAUGAUGACCAUGUCCAGGCUCUUCCCUGGCACACACACUCUGCAUAUGUUAUCCCUGAAGUGCUUUUCCCAGGCGUGGCGUGCCUUUGUGCAGGCACAGCGUCUACCCUGCUAAUAGGAUGCUGGUGUCUUCUAUCAGUGAGUUAAUUGGGUCCCUCGGUGCUGGGAUGUUUCCUGCUGCUGCAUCCUCUUCCCGGAGCUACGCCUCCACCUCGGGAACUUCCCUGCUGAUGAAGAUGUGAUGCUGAGCUCUGUGCCCUGCCCGGAGCCAGCGGAGGUUAAAUCCUAGAUAAAGCUUUGGGAUUGCUCGCAGCCUGGGCUGGGAGGGGGGGGAUGCACACACUGAGAGGUUGCUGGAGGGAUUUUAAUUGUGUCGUGUUGAUCGAGCUGGCUGUACACACAGCAGGAGGUUACUGCUCCUCCAGAGCCUGGGAGCCAAAGGUGUAUCGAUCCCAGGGAGCUGUGGGACACAGGAACACGCUGGUGGAGAUCUCAGCCGGGAUGUUUCCAGCUGAGGAUGAAAUUUCUCUGUGUCUUGCACUUCCUCCUCAACUCGUGUCGAGCUGUAACGAUUUUAUAACCCAGCUUUGUCAGCUGAUCCCUCCCCAAAGCAAGAAGCCCUGUUGCUAGGAGUGGGGUUGGGGGGGAAAAAAAACCUCAGGAAUACUCAUCUUCAGCGGUCCAACACUGCAGAUAACAUUGAGUCACUGCUGAAAGCCUCAAAGCAAAACAGAUGUUCAGUUUCUAGUGACUAAGUAACUAUUAAAGGUACCAGAUGAGCAAAGUUUUAACUGAGGUAUUUAAUUUGUGGUUGGCGGCUGACACAAAGCAUGAGCAAACAAGGUGCAAUGCAGAAAUGGUCUCCUGUAUUACACAUGCUGGUGUGUUUUCAUAAAAACUUUUUAGUUCCAUUUUUUUCCCCAUUUUUAAAAUAUGUCUUUCCGGCUUGAUUCAUUCUCUCUGUAGUUGUAACCUUUAGUUCUGGGUGGGAAGGCAAUUAUUUUGUGAGACAUAAGACCAGUGGCAGGGUGAGUGGGCUUUUGUUGCUGCCUUUGUCAUCUCGUUGUUUGACAAGUUACUUCUCCAGGAGUAGUUUGUGUCUCUGAAGUUGGGGAUAAUUACAUGUGUUCUCAAAAAUAAGGAAACUGGACUUAAUUGUGCAUCUUCUCAGCCUGACUUUUGAAUUCAUGAAUGAGUAGAAAACUUGGAAUGUGGCUGUCAUGCAGCUGCUAGCCUUCCAGCAAGAGACAAUUUUUGAUGACUAUAUUUUUUAAAAAGAAAAUUAGGGUGAGGGCUAUGAUCCCAGGAUUCUGGGCUCGUUGGGCAGCCCAGAAUCCAACACUGGGAACUUCUUGAGCUGCUGCUGGUGGAGGUGUUGGGUUCCCAUUGCUUUGUUCCCUGGUGAGAAACCUGCAGCACUGUCUGGCUUUGUGGAACAGAGGUGCUGAAUCCCUCCUUGCCACUCAAACCUGAGCAGGUGAUAAGAUAAAAGGGAAGGAAUUGUGUCCUGGUCCCUGUUCUCAGCAUUGUGUGCAGCAGGAGUGCUUGUGGAUUCCUCGGGUCCAAUGAAUACCUAACAUAAAACACAUGAAAACUCUGAGAAGGAGGACCCUGAUCAGAAUUCCCUCCCUGGUAAGUCCGUAAGUCAGAUCACUCUGUACUUUCUGGAGGAGUGACUCUCAUUUUGGCUGCUCAUCACCACGGGAAGGACAGAAUGGACUGAGUUGCUUUCCCUGGGGUGUGGGAAGUGGAUUUGUACUGCUAAGCCCACGUGGGAGCUGAAGCCAAGGCUCCAUCCUGCCAGUCCUGCAGGAUUUAGGGGGUUUUGACAUGUUCUAGAUGGUUUCUGUUAAGAAAAAGGCUUUUUGGAUCUCUUCUGAGGGUGCCUCCCUUUGGCUGAGCACUUAAUCUUCCACCCCACUUAAGGGAAGAGGGGCAGACACCAAAUCCUGUUGGCACCUUAUUUCACUUAAUUCUCGCUUUUAAUUGUUCUUCCUUCGGCUUUUAACAGAGUCUCUGCCAAAAUCAAGAAGCUAAAAAUUAAAGUAAUUAUUGUGGUGAUGGAAGCAAUCAAAGAGGCCACCAGGCUCCUGGUCUGUGUGCUGUGGUGGAAGGAGCAGGCUGGGAUUGAGCUCAUCUCCUGGGACACGCUGAGCUCCAAGAGUUAAUUUUGUUCCCGACUUCUCUGUCCAUGAGUAAUCCAUUUGUGCUGGGAGGAAAUGGCAAGUUCUUGCAGCGAGGACAGGCUUCACUGCUGGAGAAAAUGAUGCCUAUUUAUCAUAUGAUGCUCUCUGUGCCUUUUUUUAUUUGUCCUUCAUGUGAACUAAGCGUUUUGGUGAUGAGCCUCCCUGUCUGACAGCAGAUUUUGUAGAGGCCUAUGAAUGUUUUUCUUUCCUGCAUUUGCUGUUUCCCUGAAGUUCCUCACACAGCCCCAGGCACCAGUUUGUGCUCCUGGGAAAGAGCUGGACAGGAAAGGACCUGGGGGUCCAGCUGGACAUCAAAUUCACCCUGAGGCAGCAAUGUACCCAACAGGGACAGUGGUGGCCUGGGCUGGGUGAGACAAAACACUUCCAGCAGGUCCAGGGGGGAUCCUGCCCCUGUGCUCAGCACUGGUGAGGCCACACCUGCAGCACUGGGCCCAGCUCUGCCUCCCCAGGACAAGAGGGACAGGGACAGACUGGGGAGAGCCCAGUGAGGCCACUGGAGCAUCUCUGCUCUCAGGAAAGGCUGGGACAGCUGGGGCUGCUCAGCCUGGAGAAGAGAAGGCUGCGGGGCUCUCAUUCAUCCCUGUCCAUCAACACCUGCAGGGAGGCUGCAGAGGGACAGAGCCAGGCUGUGCCAGUGGUGGCCAGGGACAGGACAAGGGGCCGUGGGCACACACUGCCCACAGGAGGGUCCCUGUGAACACCAGGGAACACGUUCUGCUGGGGGGGUCACCAGCUGCUGACACAGCUUGUCCAGGGGUGUUGUGGAGUCUUCAUCUUUGAGGAUAUCCAGCAUUUAUCUGUCUACAGUCACGGGCAGCUGGCUCUGUGUGACCCUGCUGAGCAGGGAGUUGGACCAGACAGCCUCCAGAAGUUUCUUCUCACCUCCACCACUCUGUGGUUCUGAGACACAGAGAUCAAGGUCCUCGGGAGAUUCAGGGCUGGGCUGAGCCCUCUGCAGGGGUGUGACCUGUGCACAAAUGCAGCUGCAUUUGGCAUCAAACAGCACUGUGUGAUCACAUCUCCUUUGCUCUCUGGGAGUUUGAAACACCCUGUGCCAGAGUCUCCUGGCCACGCUGAGUGAAAAUGUCCCGCGGAGGGAAGGGGCCGGUGCAUGGAGGCACAGCUGAGCUACGCCCUGACGACAGCCCUGCCUCCAGGCUCCUUUAUUUUGGCCUCGAGCCUUAGUUUACAUAAUCCUGCCUGAUCCCUCAUCUUCUGCAUGGAUCAGCCUUAGAAGACCCUCCAGUUUGACCAGAUCAAACUGGGAAGCAGGUCUCUCUCACCAUCUGAGCCAAGAAGUGCUGGUGUUGGUGGAAUCAGGUGGCUUUGGCUGUAUCAGAAGACUUCACCCGUUCCAGGACUUGAUUUUGGGGCUCCUUUGGAGGCUGAAAAAAAAGAAACCAAACCUUGAACAUGGUCUGGAGAGCUGUGGAACAGGUGUGGCUCCUGUUCCCACAUGCAGCCCUGCAUGGGAGAGGUCUCACCUGCAGAGUCCAUGUGGGUUUUUCUUAUGUUUUUAUCUUUGGGUUGUGUGAGUUUCCCAAACCAGAACUGGACUGUGAUUUAGGAUCAGUUUNAGUUUCCCAAACCAGAACUGGACUGUGAUUUAGGAUCAGUUUUCCAAACCAGAAUUGGACUGUGAUUUAGAAUCAAGUCUUUAGGGAAGCUUGUCAAGGCGAUGUGUAAUAGCAUAAUAAAACCCUAACUGCUUCA